CUGAAAUCAGGUGGGAUUACCCGCUGAACUUA
rnacentral:rRNA from 1 species